ensembl:lncRNA
AAUCUGAGGCUCUUAGGAGAAAGGAACAUUUACAGCGCUGUGAACCAGGAAACUGAAUGGAGGCGCUCAGGAAGAGAGAAAAUCUCUGAAAUUCACUAGCUGUGACAUUCACUAGCUGUGAAAGUCACAGCUGUGAAAGUCCAUCUAAUUAGGCCAAGAAUUGCAGGAGACGAUAAUCAGCCCUGGCUGAGGGAAGUAAGUGCUGGGGCAGGCGGAGAAGACGAGGGGUCCGCGUCCGACUUCAGCUCUCCUCCAGCCGGUCCCACUGUGUGUCUGGUACCUUUCCCAUCUCACGUUCUCGGCUGGAGUCCUGAGACCCGACGCUCACAGAAACUUCUGACAAAAGGCAAGGAGGGUGCUGCUCUGGAGAAGGUGGAAGAUAAGGCUUGUGCUCAGAACUCCCCUCAGCACCCUGGACAUGUCUUGAGUGAUUCCCAUCACUGGCCAAGGCCCACCUCACUCUACCCUCAUGCUCAGACCUGCAGGACCCCAGCCAGGCCCAGAAGGGAAACACAGCUAUCACUCCUGAGCUUGCUGGACAACAUAUUACAUCCACGUGAAAGUAUGUCCUUGGAGACAUCCAAGCUGACUCUGUCUACAAGGACCUAGAAGCAGCCAAAGAUGCUGCGAAGGAGAAAGGCAAAGGAGCCUGCCAGGGCACCCACAGAGGCAUCGGCAGAUCAAAGCUCCCAGAGAGAAUGUUCCAAAAGAACUGGGCAGAAGCUUCAAGUCUUCACACAACCUAGGCUCAGGACUCCCAGAAUCUCACUUCUACAACAGUCUACUGGUCAAGCA